AUGAACUAUCUGGAGAUCCUGAUCAGUGGUGGCAACUGGUUUUUGUACAGCCCUGUGUCACUGUGGAAUGUCUUCGGUGGAGGAACCCAGCUGACCGACCUUGGUCAGCCAAAGGCAUCUCCUACCGUGCACCUCUUCCCUCCAUCCUCGGAAGAGAUAAAAACAAAGAGCAAAGCCACAUUGGUGUGUCUGCUGGGCAGCUUUUACCCAGGGGCAGUCCAAGUGACCUGGAAAGCUGAUGGCCAGCAGAUCUCCACUGGAGUGGAGACGACCAAACCCUCCAAACAGAGUGACAACAAGUACAUGGCCAGCAGUUACCUGUCUCUGGAUGCAUCAAAGUGGAAGACCCAUGAGACCUAUACCUGCCAGGUGACACACGAUGGGAAGAACUUCGAGAAGUCACUGAAGAGCUCAGAGUGUUCUUAA